AGCGAACGCUGGCGGCAGGCCUAACACAUGCAAGUCGAACGAACCCUUCGGGGUUAGUGGCGGACGGGUGAGUAACACGUGGGAACGUGCCUUUAGGUUCGGAAUAACUCAGGGAAACUUGUGCUAAUACCGAAUGUGCCCUUCGGGGGAAAGAUUUAUCGCCUUUAGAGCGGCCCGCGUCUGAUUAGCUAGUUGGUGAGGUAAUGGCUCACCAAGGCUACGAUCAGUAGCUGGUCUGAGAGGAUGACCAGCCACAUUGGGACUGAGACACGGCCCAAACUCCUACGGGAGGCAGCAGUGGGGAAUCUUGCGCAACGGGCGAAAGCCUGACGCAGCCAUGCCGCGUGGAUGAUGAAGGUCUUAGGAUUGUAAAAUCCUUUCACCGGUGAAGAUAAUGACUGUAGCCGGAGAAGAAGCCCCGGCUAACUUCGUGCCAGCCGCCACCGUAAAAC
rnacentral:rRNA from 1 species